CACGGACAGCUGCAGCUACAAAGCACCCCAGUGACCUAGAUUCAGCUGUAGAUUACUGUCUGCUUUGGCCUGUGCCUCCCAGAGCUGCACCAGGAGUCUGAUUUUGUUGCACAAGCUAACUUGCUUACUGCUCUGACCCAUUUUACCAUAGCAACCUGGUUUGCUGUACUAGAGGCUAGAAAAAGCACGCAGGCAACUUUUUAAGGAUUCCAAGAUUAAGUUCUCUCUCUGCUCUUUUUUUCUUCUCCCCCCCACCCCCAGCCCUAUGCCCUGAAUGUGCUUAGCAGACAUGAUGAAGAUGAACUGACAGUUUCCAACAGCACUGGAAGCCAGGAAAAGAUUUAGGCAAGGGACAUCGCCCAAAUGCCAGGACUUUUCAGCUGUGAUGGAGAGAGGCUUGGCAACUACAUCAGCCAGUUCCCUCAGGACCCUGGGAUUCAUGUCAUCAGGUCCCAUAGACUUGUACCAGUUUAAAUUCAUCAGGUGGUCUUGAACCUGCUCUUCAUAUAUAUUGGGUGGGACUUUGAUCCCCCAGCUUCCAUCCACCAUCUUCCAUGGGAAGCCCAUCUACCAGUGCAGACAGAGGCAAAGAAGUUGUUGAAUACCUCAGCCUUCUCUAUUUCUGUCAUUGCCAAUUACCCAGAUAUAGAAACUCACUCCUAAUAUAGGAAAUUAGCAACCUAUAAUUGGUUACACACUACUAUUUUCACACCUCAGUCUAUUUUCACAAAUGUUAAAGGUGCAUGGUGGCCCUUGGGGACUCCUCCUGUCACCCCAGCUCAGCAGCCCAAAGGAAGCUGGGUCUUCUCUUGUGCUCUUCCUCGAGGCUCUGUGCAGAAGGGCUGCCACCUCUUACACAAGGGCUGGGGGAUGGGAAAGAAGCACCCACACAACCCUUGAGAAUGAGCAACGGAGUUCUUUAUUGCCAGGACAUCUUGCAGGUGAGCCUGCUGUAUGUCCAUGGUGUUUGGCGGCUCCAAGCUAAUGCUUGGGAUGGAGCCUGUGUGACAUGUAGGGAGCUCACCGGGCACUGCUGCAACACUGUUGGUGGACUCGGAUGUCAGAGAGUGAAGACAUGCCAGCGUAGCUGCAGGUCUGAUCCGGCCGAGGUGGAUCCACUUCCAUUGGUUCCUCCACAUCUGCUGGUGGAUCCACCUCCAUGGGCCCCACAAUGUUUGGCAGAAGGACAAGCCACUCCUUGCCUGGGACUGCCCAAAUGGGAUGCCUUCCAACUGGAAUGUUUACAGGCCAAACCAGGGGCUUGUCCACUUCCACCCCUAGGUCCCAUGCCACUGUCUGGCUGAUUCCCAUUUGUAGGUUUGAUACAGCUGUCUGGUUUAUGGCCACGGCUAGGUCCCACACUGCGUUCCAGACUAUGGGCAGGUGUCUGCUCCCUGUGGCUGUCUGCCUGAUGCUCCUGCCUUUGUCCCAUGCUGCUGUUGUGCCACUGGGAAGGACCAGGCCCCCUGUCACUGUGUGGCUGAGGGGGUGGCCUGUUCUCCACGUCGUUGUGGUGCCAGUGGUACCACCUGUAAGUGUCUGUGGGCUGUGUGCCAGAGGUACCUCGGGCACUGGUGUCAGUUGUGCCACAGGUGCUACCCCUCUGCCCAUGACACUUCUCGUUAGGUGCCUUCAUUCUCGGUGCUUCCUUGGACUGCAUUGCUGUUCUCUCACACCGAGGAGGCCUGCCUCUCGCCUUACUGCUUCUGGACUUCUUCCUGCCACACAAGCAGGCUGUCAGAGUGCUUUGAAGCUCAGAGAAUGGUGGGCCAGCUGCAGGGGUCCUGUUUUUUAGGGACUGGAGCAAAGGUGGGGCAGUGGUGGCCACUGUGACCACAGCAAGCCUCUGUGAUGGAGUGACCCACACGUGGCCAAAGGCAGCUGUGUUGGGAGCAGCCUGGAAGAUGACCUCACAUGGAAGAAAGAGGAGGGUUGGGGAGGCUGGCUCCCCUGGGUCAUUUGGCUUGCCAGAGAGAAAGGCUGCCCUUCGGCCACAAGGACUGCCCUCCACCUCCCAUCCUGUGUCCCGUGUUUAUUUUUAACACCGUUUUUUAGGUAAUUAAAAUUAAUUUUUGGAAAAGAAUAGAGUCAAGGUGCAUCUUCAGCCCUAGUUCCCAUGUGCGCUUUGUGCUCUGAGUGAAGAAUUUCUUCCUCACAUUACAUCUAAUCUAAAUCUCCCCUCCAUUUGUUCAAAGCCAUCGUUCCUUGUUUCAUCGCUACACUCCCUGAUAGAGUCCCUCUCCAGCUUUCUUAUAGGCCAAUUUUAUGGGUUAGGUUAGGUGGCAAAACUGCAGGACCUUGCAAAUUGCAGCCUUACCUACCUUAUUCCACAUAUUCUACACGAUGCUUUCCAGCUCAGGCUCUAGCCUCUCAUCAUUGUAACAUAGAAUCAUAGAAUCAUUCAGGUUGGAAAAGACCUCCAAGAUUAUCUGGCUCAACCACCCCCCUACUGUCAAUGUCACCCACUAAACCAUUUCCCUAAGCACCAUGUCCAACCUUUCCUUUCCAGGGACAGUGUCUACCAUGAUCCCCAAUACCUUUUCUGCAAACAUCACUUCUAGCCACCUGGCUUCCAGCAUCUACUAGUACAGGAGAUUUCUCUUCUCCAGAUGAAGAACCACCAAAAGUGUAGUCCAAUAAAUGUGUGUUUUGAAGAAAGAAAGAGUAUAUAACCCAAGAAUUAUUUCAUUGGUCAAUGGCACCAAAGGCUUUGUCACUGUGCAGAAAACUGAGCUGCAGCAUCAGCACCUGGCCUGAUGUAUCCCACUGCAUAAGAGAAAGAUGGACUGGCUUUUUAAAGGCAAAGAUGGGGUAUGUAUAAGACGAGGAAAGAAGAAUGGAAGCACCAAAACAGCCUUUGUGGAGUGGAAUGAAAAAGAAGCAAAGAUUUUUUUUUUUUCCUGGGGUCAAGGUAGAGUUGAUGGAGAAAAUGCAAAUGAAUUUAACCAUUCAUGCAUCUCUUCUCAUUAAUUAAUCCCUUAUGGAGUGCAUACUUUUCCAGACACAACAGGACUAUCUGUCUGUACUGCUGUACUGAAUACCUGUGAAAAAUGAGACAUGACAUCCCAUUAGAAAGAAGAUUCCCAUUCUCCCAGAGUUGUACCAGAUUAUUCAUAGAGUUGUAAGCUACCAACAUAAUCGGCUUUACACUUUACCUUUUGUGUUACAGGAAGUUAUCUCCGGGCAAACAAAUGCUUCUGAUUUUAUAGGUGAAGGAUAUGCUGCUAUUUAAAGCUUUCCAGAGCUCAUGCAUGUGACCCUUGUAUGUUAAAUUUUAUACAGAAACAACAAAGAUGUAGAAAUGUUUCACAUUUAAUAGUUCUGUGCAUGUAGUAUAAAAAGUAGUCUGGUCAAAUAAGACCAAUAUUGGAGGCUUUAGACCCCUGUAAAUCAGAUGGAGAUGUGUUAACUACACAGUCAAUAAAAAUUCAGUCUGAUAGCUACA